rnacentral:lncRNA from 1 species
AUGGCUAGAAUUUCUCCUAUCCUAGCUUUUCAACUCAUAAUUUCCUCCCUCUUCUCUUCCUUUGCCAUGAUCCCAGUCUCUGGGGAAAAUCGUGGGUUUGUAGGAAGCAUUGACCCUAAGCUUUUUGGACUGCAAGAAGAAAAGCUCACCCACAUUCAAUUAUAUUGGCAUGACCUUCUUAAUGGGCCUCACCCUUCUGCCAUAGAUGUGGUGCCUUCAUCCACCAAGUCACCAACAAAUUAUGGGUUAGUGAGAAUGUUUGAUAAUGCCCUAACCGAAGGACCUGAAUUGAGCUCAGAAUUGGUGGCAAGGGCUCAAGGGUUUUAUGCAUCUGCAGCACGAAAGGGGCUUAGCAAGUUGAUGGUUCAGAACUUUGCUUUUGUCAAAGGUCAGUUUAAUGGCAGCACCAUAAAUUUGAUAGGAAGAAAUUCAAUUUUGAACAAGGUAAGGGAGCUGCCUGUGGUUGGUGGAAGCGGAGUUUUCAGGCUUGCUAGGGGUUAUGCUUUAGCAACAACUCACACUGGUGAUGCAACGGUGGAGUACAAUAUCUAUGUGUUGCAUUACUGA